rnacentral:rRNA from 1 species
GUGGGGAAUUUUGGACAAUGGGCGCAAGCCUGAUCCAGCAAUGCCGCGUGCAGGAAGAAGGCCUUCGGGUUGUAAACUGCUUUUGUACGGAACGAAACGGUCCUGGCUAAUAUCCGGGGCUAAUGACGGUACCGUAAGAAUAAGCACCGGCUAACUACGUGCCAGCAGCCGCGGUAAUACGUAGGGUGCGAGCGUUAAUCGGAAUUACUGGGCGGAAAGCGUGCGCAGGCGGUGCUGUAAGACAGGCGUGAAAUCCCCGGGCUCAACCUGGGAAUUGCGCUUGUGACUGCAGUGCUGGAGUGCGGCAGAGGGGGAUGGAAUUCCGCGUGUAGCAGUGAAAUGCGUAGAUAUGCGGAGGAACACCGAUGGCGAAGGCAAUCCCCUGGGCCUGCACUGACGCUCAUGCACGAAAGCGUGGGGAGCAAACAGGAUUAGAUAUCCCUGUAGUCC